rnacentral:rRNA from 1 species
UACGUAGGGUGCAAGCGUUGUCCGGAAUUUAUUGGGCGUAAAGAGCUCGUAGGCGGUUCGUCACGUCGGCUGUGAAAUCCCGAGGCUCAACCUCGGGUCUGUAGUCGAUACGGGCGGACUGGAGUACUGCAGGGGAGACUGGAAUUCCUGGUGUAGCGGUGAAAUGCGCAGAUAUCAGGAGGAACACCGGUGGCGAAGGCGGGUCUCUGGGCCGAUACUGACGCUGAGGAGCGAAAGCAUGGGUAGCGAACAGG